CAGUCGCCGCGGUAAUACGAAGGGGGCUAGCGUUGUUCGGAAUUACUGGGCGUAAAGCGCACGUAGGCAGACAUUUAAGUCAGGGGUGAAAUCCCGGGGCUCAACCCCGGAACUGCCUUUGAUACUGGGUGUCUAGAGUAUGGAAGAGGUGAGUGGAAUUCCGAGUGUAGAGGUGAAAUUCGUAGAUAUUCGGAGGAACACCAGUGGCGAAGGCGGCUCACUGGUCCAUUACUGACGCUGAGGUGCGAAAGCGUGGGGAGCAAACAGGAUUAGAUACCCCUGUAGUCCCUGUCUCUUAUAC
rnacentral:rRNA from 1 species